rnacentral:rRNA from 1 species
AUUGAACGCUUGCGGCAGGCUUAACACAUGCAAGUCGAGCGAGCGGCGGACGGGUGAGUAAUGUCUGGGAAACUGCCUGAUAGAGGGGGAUCACUACUGGAAACGGUAGCUAAUACCGCAUACCAUCAGAUGAACCCAAGAGGGAUUAGCUAGUAGGUGGGGUAAGGGGUCACCUAGGCGACGAUCCCUAGCUGGUCUGAGAGGAUGACCAGCCACACUGGAACGGAGACACGGUCCAGACUCCUACGGGAGGCAGCAGUGGGGAAUAUUGCACAAUGGGCGCAAGCCUGAUGCAGCCAUGCCGCGUGGGUGAAGAAGGCCUUCGGGUUGUAAAGCACUUUCAGCGGGGAGGCGUUACUCGCAGAAGAAGCACCGGCUAACUCCGUGCCAGCAGCCGCGGUAAUAC